GCAUGAUAUUCAAAUGAAGGUGACAUGGUAUUCAAAUGAAGGUGACAUGGUAUUCAAAUGAAGAUGAUAUGGUAUUCAAAUGAAGGUAGCAUGAUAUUCAAAUGAAGGUGGCAUGGUAUUCAAAUGAAGGUGGCAUGGUAUUCAAAUGAAGGUGGCAUGGUAUUCAAAUGAAGGUGGCAUGGUAUUCAAAUGAAGGUGGCAUGGUAUUCAAAUGAAGGUGGCAUGGUAUUCAAAUGAAGGUGACAUGGUAUUCAAAUGAAGGUGACAUGGUAUUCAAAUGAAGGUGACAUGGUAUUCAAAUGAAGGUGGCAUGGUAUUCAAAUGAAGGUGGCAUGGUAUUCAAAUGAAGGUGACAUGGUAUUCUAAUGAAGGUGACAUGGUAUUCAAAUGAAGGUGGCAUGGUAUUCAAAUGAAGGUGGCAUGGUAUUCAAAUGAAGGUGGCAUGGUAUUCAAAUGAAGGUGGCAUGGU